UAGGCAUGCUGGAGUUCCGCCAGCGGCGCCUGGGCGCAUGCCCGACACCCGACGGAACAGGA
rfam:Mesorhizobium sp. LC103 LC103_contig5, whole genome shotgun sequence.